AUCCAGAUCUUUUGUUAGUAAGAUUUGAACUUCCCAGCUCUUGGCCAUGAUGAGAGCCAAAUGCAAGCACGUCACAUUGUGUGCCAGGCCUCUCAGCAUUUAUGUUCUCUUUUUAACCAAGUUGUUUUAGAUGAAUUUUGACUUUGAUCAAGAAUGGCACUAAUUUUUAGAGAAAUGUUGGAGUUAUGAAAUCAAGGAAUUUUCAAGUGAAGUAAAUCAUGGCUCAAUGACAGCUAUUUGGCAGAACGGCAUCAACUGAGGAAUCCUAAUAUGGGGGCAUUUUUUCCCCCUCUGAGGAAGGAUUAAGCAUAGACAUGCUUAAGUUAAGCUUUACUCCGUGGACUGUUAUUUCCUUGCCGGAGCCAAGUGAUGAGAUAAGAUGAGGAGAGUGUUUAAUGAUGUCUCCAAAUCUCCAGACAUAUCAGGUGAAACUGUUGGGACUUAACACCAGACCUUGUGCUCUGUGUGCACAUGCCUUGUCAUUGACACUUGUGAAGACAACUUCUUUUCCCCAGUUGACUUGAUGUCAAAGCAAGCUAUGACUCCCACAGUUAUCUUUGGUGACACUCGGCUGUGAGUAUUUGAACAAGCUUGGAAAUAAAAUUAAAUGUAACCAGCCACAAACUACAAAGAAAGAGCAUAAGUGAGGAGGAACAGUAAGAAGAAAAAUGAUUAAGGCUUUGGGUGUGGUUCAGAAUGGCAUUUAAAAUAAAUACAAUAAAAGUUAUCCUGUAAUCAGUAAACAGCAA